UUACGGCCACACCACGAUGAAACACCGGUCCCCCCUACGAUCACCGAAGUUAAGCAACGUCGAACCUGGCUAGUACCUACAUGGGUGACCACUAGUUAAUAGCAGGUGCUGUAAG